UACGUAGGGGGCAAGCGUUGUCCGGAUUUAUUGGGCGUAAAGCGCGCGCAGGCGGUCUCUUAAGUCUGAUGUGAAAGCCCACGGCUCAACCGUGGAAGGUCAUUGGAAACUGGGAGACUUGAGUGUAGGAGAGGAAAGUGGAAUUCCACGUGUAGCGGUGAAAUGCGUAGAGAUGUGGAGGAACACCAGUGGCGAAGGCGACUUUCUGGCCUAUAACUGACGCUGAGGAGCGAAAGCGUGGGGAGCAAACAGG
rnacentral:rRNA from 1 species